GUGAUUGAUUCUGGUUUGUGUCCCCCUCAUUACAGUCAGCUGUUUUUGCACACCACCAUAUUCGCAGUGGGUGGUACAGAAUACCAUUGAAUGACUGAGGGGAUUUCGGUAAAUAUUCGUAACCCUUUCAUGUGCAGGGGAGGUCUUUGAAUACCUACCCUCCUUAAGCCUCAGUUGUCUCUUUUGUCAACUGGGAAUAAUAGGAUUCCUAGUAAGAUCCUCUAAAGGGUUGCUUUGAGGAUGAAAUGCAAGAGUACACAUAUAUAAACCUUAAACACAGUGCCUAGCACAAAGUAAGCGCUCAUUAAACAGGAGCUUUUGUUUGCUGCAGCUCACUGCGGCAAACACACACGAACGGCGCAAACGCCGAGCCCUCUCAGCGGAAUUUUCUUUUCGAGGUUCGUCUGUCGCUGGGAAUUGACAAGCAAUUUCCCUCUGGGCCCUCAAAUGCUAAAACCUUCGUGUCUAUCUCGCGUCCUAACUCCGCUGUGAGCCCAGUCAUUUUGGUUAGAACAGGUUUGAUUUUACAAGCUCCGGAGUGGGGCCCUGACCCCGGUGGAAGUGUUCGCUUUAAAAGAUCUGCGGGAGGGGAGGGUUGGGGCGGGAGGAAGGGGGCUCCAGCGCCGGGGGGCGGGGGUGGGCAGGGGGCGGUGCGCGGCUCCUGCGUCAGAAGGGGCCCUGUUUUCGCACCUUCCCCUGACGUCAAAGCUCAGUCAGGACUGCAGCGCUACGUUCCCAGUGGAUGUCUACGUGGGCUGAGUCGUGACUCGGGGCCCGGGUCUUGCGAGUGACGCUCGCACUUCGCUCCUCGUCUCACACCGGCGGGAGAGGCCGGGGGGCUCCUCUGUCUGGCUCCGCGGGCUGCGGGCGGCAGGCAGCGGGCGGCCGCGGCGCCCUGGACGGCCCGGGGGGUCCGGGCACCGCCAUGGAACCAGAAUAGGAAGGGAGCGCGCCCACCGGUCCUCGGCCUGCGCCCAAGCCCGGGAGGAAUCCGGGAGGCCUCCGCGGAGGUGAGAACCGCGCCGCAGAGCACCGUGGCGGCGGCGGCGGGCGCGGGCGCGGGCGGGGCGGGCCGAGCCGAGGCGGCGCGCAGCCGGGGCGACGCCCGCGGGCUCCGUGCGCGCGGCCGGGGGUGGGGCCUGCUCGCCUCGCGCCCCGGGCGCCUUCUUCCUCCCGAGGGACGGCCGGACAGCUCGCCCGGCUCCUGCACCCGCCUCGCAGGUCCUUCUCGGCUUCUCCCGUCCCCAGUCCCUUUCUGCCCGUCCUGCGGGAGCGGGGCCGGCGUCUCCGGGCCCGGAUCGAGAUGUUUUCCAGGACUAAUGCAACUGAUGAAAUACCUGCCCUUUUCUGCUCAAGGUAAGUGACUUGUUACUUUAUGAAAAUACCAGAUACCAGUAGAAUUCAGAGUUGGAAUAAAAAGACCCAUUCAGUCA
rnacentral:lncRNA from 1 species